UACGGAGGGUGCAAGCGUUAUCCGGAUUCACUGGGCUUAAAGGGUGCGUAGGCGGGCUGGCAAGUCCGUGGUGAAAUCUCUGAGCUUAACUCAGAAACUGCCAUGGAUACUAUUUGUCUUGAAUAUUGUGGAGGUAAGCGGAAUAUGUCAUGUAGCGGUGAGAUGCUUAGAUAUGACAUAGAACACCAAUGGCGAAGGCAGCUUACUACACAGUUAUUGACGCUGAGGCACGAAAGCGUGGGGAUCAAACAGG
rnacentral:rRNA from 1 species